rnacentral:misc_RNA from 1 species
CAGCUCGUCGAAGUGCCCUCUUUUCGGAGAACGAGAAGGCCUCCACUGCUCUGGCGCUUGUGUGGGCGGGUGUCUCUUUCUCCGCCUCGAUCCUGCUGCGGCGUGAGUCUCGCCAGCCUCGUCUUGCAGGGCGGUCUCCCUCCUCUUGUUUUUCGGGUGUGUGUUGUCUUGUAUGGUGCCGUGUACUCAUUCCGCCAGUCCAUGGCCGCCGCCGCUCCUGAGUCACAGCCCUUCUUCCAUAUACUCGGUCUCCGCUGCUGCUUCUUUCUCUCCGCCGCAGUGGCGCCGCUUCUUCGUACUCGGCGGUGAUGUUCGUGCCAAUGUCUUACGCGUCUUCUUCGUACGAUCCGCCGAGUGGCCCUUCACCGCCGCCACCGAGACGCAACGUAGCGGCUGGGCGUCGACUUGCCCCUCUCCCGCCGUCGCUGCGCACAGACCCGCAUCACCAGGUGAGGUCCACGCGACCUGCGCGACACCAACCACCACCCUCCUCGUCGGUGCUUUCCUCGUCUUCCUCGACCGUCAGCGUCGCAGCAGGCGCUCGCAGUAGCAGCAAGCAGCGCCAGGAUGGCCAGUGCCGCCUACCACCUGUGUCGCGGGUGGACCACCCAGCCCCACACCACGCGCCAUCCGCGUCGCCGAAGAGAGCCAUCGCAGCAGCUUCAGUACGGCGGUUGUUUGCGGAGACGGCACCAGCUAGCCGAGGGAGCGCAUCAGGGAGCAGUGGUGGUGAGGUCAUGCUAGGCCACAGCAGGGGGGCGCGGCCCUUGUCGGGGGACCCGCUGCGCGCCCCCGGUUUCGCUGAAACAAGGUGCCCCACCCCGCAGCGCAGAGAGGGCGCCAUGGACGGGUCGUCGAAGCCCUCUGCUGCGGCGUCCUCCACGGCCCCGCAAGGCCGCCCAAAGCCACGUGCGCUUGCAUUACAACGCAGCGGUAGUGGCGCACUAGGCAGCGGCCCCACACAACGUGGCGAAUCUCGCGUUUCAGGGACGGCUGUCAUACAUGGGGCCCCAUCACGGCAGCCCGCCCACCCAGAGCGCAAUGGACAGCGACACACGUCGUCGGGCACAUCUCUGAGUAUCGCGGCAAAUGAUGCUGCCGCUGCGUGCUCAGCACCAGCACUACCGGGCACCGGUUCCCCGUCGUCAUCGGCGCAGCAGCAUGCUGCUAGCAUUGAUCUUCCGUAUGCUCUGCAUGACAUGGACGAGCACUUCUUCACCGACAUGCAGAACUGGAAGACUGAGGAAGAGCUCCCGGGCCUGGUCUGGUCGUUGCUCGAGGGCGUGACGCUGGAGGCACCCUACACCAGCCAUCUGUGGGCUCAAGCCUACGUAAACCCUGCUGACCUCUUGCCAGCGCCGAAGGCGAAAGCAUCCGCGCUGCCCGAUAUGUUUGUGCACCGCGAGAGCCAACAGCGCACCAACGGCUUCUACGCGUGCGUGCGGUGUGGUACACCAGUCUGCGAACCAUCUCAUCAAGUGAUACCGGCAUCUUGCUCUCUUCGCGGUAUCGCAGUGUUCGAUGCCCUACAUAUGAACGGCGUGGAGCUCCGCGUCUGCACGCCAACCGUGAAAGACGUAGCGCCGCCGCAGUCGCGUGAGCGGCGCUCUUCGUCACCGAUUUUCGCAGCCGCCAAAUCGCACGGCAGAGUAGGAGGCGCUGCGGAGCUCGAUGUGGUCGCGGGCGGGCUGCGCUUCCUCGUGCAUUGUCGCCACUGCAAUGGGUGCCUGGGUGUGAUGCGGCUUGAUGAGGCAAUGGCACCUGCCGCCGCACCUGCCACGGCCCUCUUCUGCGCGAACAGCGCGUGCCUCGAGUACGUGCCCUACCGCACGCGUGCCCGGCUUGAUCAGCCGAUAAUGACUGAUAUGGGUGCCGAUCCUGAAGCAGGCAGUAGCGACCGCGGUGAUGGCGCGGCUAGCAUGUUUGGCCGCGCCUCUGUGGCGGAGCACGCCCAGUCCAGGGGUACACUGGGGUCUCUAUUUGGUCCGCCGCACGGGGCGGUGGCGUGGGGCGUCGAGGGAGCCAUCGAUGCCGACUUUCGGGAGAAGCAGGGGAUCAUCAGCUACGCUGGCGACGGCACCGGCCUCGACGCGUCGUUCGACGCCUUGCUGGAGGAUCUCAACCCGUGCGCUGAUCCAACGCCAAUGUCCAGCAGUGUUGGCUCAGACGGCUAGCAAGCAGGCAAGGAGGGCAGGGUGCGGGCGGGAGCAUAGCCUGCAGUCCCGCGCCUUUUCGCAGGCCACGCUUUGCCCCAUUGCCGGGCAUGUGCCGUUCUCCGGUGCACCGCUUGGCACCGCCCCCCCCCCCCGUCGCAUGGUGGACGUCUUAUCGGAGUCGUGGAGGACGGUGGUGGUCGUGGUGGUUGGUGGACGUUGACGGUGCACGGAAAAUCGAUAGACCCGAUGCACAUGGAGCGCAAACUGCGGUGUCUCUUGGACGGGCUCAUUACCACCCCACCCACCCACCCCCCCGCCGCAUAUUUUCUGUUAUGGGGCAUGUUCAACGCGCGCCCCCUACACACGUCGAGCGAGAGAGAGAGAGACGAUACCCAUUCGCAUGUGCGUACUCGAGCGGUAUUCUUUAUUAUUUGGGGGUUUGCUUGUGCACCACAUCGCCGCUGAGGCGCCUACCCGGCUAUACACGCGUGAGCAUCUGUGGUUCCGUUUUGCGUGCGCUAUCACCAUCAGGCGCGCGUUCUCCCUCUCUCCCGUUCGUUGUUGGGUGCGUCGUCUGCGUCUACCGCGUCUGAAUGCGCUUGUGUACGCGGGCACUCACAACUGCGGUCUCUCCCUCUGCGCGAAAUGCUCUAGGGCGCCAUAUUUGUCUCCUGUCAUACAAACUGGGCGGUUGUCUCGAAGCCUGCAGAGGAGGGGCAGGGGUGUCGCAGCGGGAAGAAGCGCAUCCUUCGGCAGCGGCUUGCGGUGUGUGUGCGUGUGUGUGUGUGUGUGUGUCCCCCUUGUCCUCCCACCCUCUCACUGUCGUG